UACAGAGGUCCCAAGCGUUGUUCGGAUUCACUGGGCGUAAAGGGUGCGUAGGCGGUCGGGUAAGUCUGAUGUGAAAUCUCACAGCUUAACUGUGAAACUGCAUUGGAUACUAUCCGGCUCGAGGAAUGGAGGGGAGACUGGAAUACUCGGUGUAGCAGUGAAAUGCGUAGAUAUCGUGAGGAACACCAGAGGCGAAGGCGGUUACCUGGACAGUUACUGACGCUCAGGCACGAAAGCGUGGGGAGCAAAAGGG
rnacentral:rRNA from 1 species